UGGGGAAUAUUGCACAAUGGGGGAAACCCUGAUGCAGCGACGCCGCGUGAGCGAUGAAGGCUUUCGAGUCGUAAAGCUCUGUCCUAUGGGAAGAUAAUGACGGUACCAUAGAAGAAAGCCCCGGCUAACUACGUGCCAGCAGCCGCGGUAAUACGUAGGGGGCUAGCGUUGUCCGGAAUCACUGGGCGUAAAGGGUUCGCAGGCGGAAAUGCAAGUCAGGUGUAAAAGGCAGUAGCUUAACUACUGUAAGCAUUUGAAACUGCAUAUCUUGAGAAGAGUAGAGGUAAGUGGAAUUUUUAGUGUAGCGGUGAAAUGCGUAGAUAUUAAAAAGAAUACCGGUGGCGAAGGCGACUUACUGGGCUCAUUCUGACGCUGAGGAACGAAAGCGUGGGUAGCAAACAGG
rnacentral:rRNA from 1 species